rnacentral:lncRNA from 1 species
UGUGAUUAUGAUUUUCUGUUACAAUUAACACUUUAUACCAUGCCUUAAUCCACUUUUUAAUCACAAUUAACAAAAUCAAAUGAAAUUAGCAAAAUGCAUUUUCAAGUGAAAUGGCCAAUAUGUCCUUUUGCAAAUUAGGCAAUGUAACAGUAGAAAAUCAGUUCAAGCAAGUUCUAAAUGAUGUUUAUGAUGUGUUGCAAUAGGCUUUGUAUGCAAAUACCAUGUAUUUCACAAAAUCACCUUUUUUC